UACCAGCACCCCGAGUGGUCGGGACGAUUAUUGGGCCUAAAGCAUCCGUAGCCGGUUCUGCAAGUCCCCCGUUAAAUCCAGCUGCUCAACAGAUGGGCCGCGGAGGAUACUACAGAGCUAGGAGGCAGGAGAGGCAAGCGGUACUCAGUGGGUAGGGGUAAAAAUCCGUUGAUCCAUUGAAGACCACCAGUGGCGAAGGCGGCUUGCCAGAAUGCGCUCGACGGUGAGGGAUGAAAGCUGGGGGAGCAAACCGGG
rnacentral:rRNA from 1 species